GAUGAACGCUGGCGGCGUGCCUAAUACAUGCAAGUCGAGCGAACGGACGAGAAGCUUGCUUCUCUGAUGUUAGCGGCGGACGGGUGAGUAACACGUGGAUAACCUACCUAUAAGACUGGGAUAACUUCGGGAAACCGGAGCUAAUACCGGAUAAUAUUUUGAACCGCAUGGUUCAAAAGUGAAAGACGGUCUUGCUGUCACUUAUAGAUGGAUCCACGCUGCAUUAGCUAGUUGGUAAGGUAACGGCUUACCAAGGCAACGAUGCAUAGCCGACCUGAGAGGGUGAUCGGCCACACUGGAACUGAGACACGGUCCAGACUCCUACGGGAGGCAGCAGUAGGGAAUCUUCCGCAAUGGGCGAAAGCCUGACGGAGCAACGCCGCGUGAGUGAUGAAGGUCUUCGGAUCGUAAAACUCUGUUAUUAGGGAAGAACAUAUGUGUAAGUAACUGUGCACAUCUUGACGGUACCUAAUCAGAAAGCCACGGCUAACUACGUGCCAGCAGCCGCGGUAAUACGUAGGUGGCAAGCGUUAUCCGGAAUUAUUGGGCGUAAAGCGCGCGUAGGCGGUUUUUUAAGUCUGAUGUGAAAGCCCACGGCUCAACCGUGGAGGGUCAUUGGAAACUGGAAAACUUGAGUGCAGAAGAGGAAAGUGGAAUUCCAUGUGUAGCGGUGAAAUGCUCAGAGAUAUGGAGGAACACCAGUGGCGAAGGCGACUUUCUGGUCUGUAACUGACGCUGAUGUGCGAAAGCGUGGGGAUCAAACAGGAUUAGAUACCCUGGUAGUCCACGCCGUAAACGAUGAGUGCUAAGUGUUAGGGGGUUUCCGCCCCUUAGUGCUGCAGCUAACGCAUUAAGCACUCCGCCUGGGGAGUACGACCGCAAGGUUGAAACUCAAAGGAAUUGACGGGGACCCGCACAAGCGGUGGAGCAUGUGGUUUAAUUCGAAGCAACGCGAAGAACCUUACCAAAUCUUGACAUCCUUUGACAACUCUAGAGAUAGAGCCUUCCCCUUCGGGGGACAAAGUGACAGGUGGUGCAUGGUUGUCGUCAGCUCGUGUCGUGAGAUGUUGGGUUAAGUCCCGCAACGAGCGCAACCCUUAAGCUUAGUUGCCAUCAUUAAGUUGGGCACUCUAAGUUGACUGCCGGUGACAAACCGGAGGAAGGUGGGGAUGACGUCAAAUCAUCAUGCCCCUUAUGAUUUGGGCUACACACGUGCUACAAUGGACAAUACAAAGGGCAGCGAAACCGCGAGGUCAAGCAAAUCCCAUAAAGUUGUUCUCAGUUCGGAUUGUAGUCUGCAACUCGACUACAUGAAGCUGGAAUCGCUAGUAAUCGUAGAUCAGCAUGCUACGGUGAAUACGUUCCCGGGUCU
rnacentral:rRNA from 1 species